AGCACGUUAUGGUGGGCACUCUAAGGAGACUGCCGGUGGACAAACCGGAGGAAGGUGGGGAUGACGUCAAGUCAUCAUGGCCCUUACGGCCUGGGCUACACACGUGCUACAAUGGUCGGUACAAAGGGUUGCCAAGCCGCGAGGUGGAGCUAAUCCCAUAAAACCGAUCGUAGUCCGGAUCGCAGUCUGCAACUCGACUGCGUGAAGUCGGAAUCGCUAGUAAUCGUGAAUCAGAAUGUCACGGUGAAUACGUUCCCGGGCCUU
rnacentral:rRNA from 1 species